ensembl:lncRNA
UCUUGACACCAACACUGCAAGAAAUAUCGUCAGAGCAGCCUUGUAUUCAAAGCCAGAUGGUGAUCAAGUAUUUAAGGAAUAUGAGAAAACAAACUGCCUCUCUGAUACUACAAGAAGAAAGAUGGUAAACAUCCUUGUGGCAGACAUGGUAGAGAGCCAUGGGAACAUUUCUAUGAUCACCAGAGUGGUUCUGGUUACCUGGCAUGGAGACUGAAAACAGUGCAGCGCAACUCUACUGAAAAGAUGAAGAAAUCAGAGAUUUUCAAGACAGCCCCAAGACUCUUCGCGACUUGUGUUCAAAUGCGAGACAGUUGCCAGGUGAUGAAUGCAAGGAAGCUAUGUCACUGAUGAGGCACUCAACUGACAUGAAACUUGUCAAAGAGAAAAUGAAGGUGACAUUUGAACAUAGGCAAAAAGUGAUUCAAGAUCCAGCCACAGCUUCUUCUGUCCUGGACCUUUUCCCAAGAUUUCUGGAUACACCUGGCUUGAUUGACCAAGACUUCACAAUGCUGUUUGGGGAGGAAGUGUCUGGUAAAUUCCUUGCGAAGUGGCCAACAUUCUUCAAGCCAAGAAUCAUCAAAGAUUGCAAGAAUCUGUCUCAGAGUACAGAAUUGGAUGAGCUGCUCGUUUCUUCACAUGGUGACUCUGACGAGGGUGUAUGGGACUGCGAGUUGGCUGCCAUUCUUUUGCUGCUUCACUUGUUACCUCCAACAUCUAAAGGAAGGAAGUCUUCAAAGAUUAGCACAUCAGAUGCUGCUCACAACCUAAUGAAAUUCAUGAAGGUAUGAUUUAGGGCUGUGCGAUAUGACCAAAAUCUCA